rnacentral:rRNA from 1 species
GUGGGGAAUAUUGCACAAUGGGGGAAACCCUGAUGCAGCAACGCCGCGUGAGUGAAGAAGGCCUUCGGGUUGUAAAGCUCUGUCUUUGGGGAAGAAAAUGACGGUACCCAAGGAGGAAGCCACGGCUAACUACGUGCCAGCAGCCGCGGUAAUACGUAGGUGGCGAGCGUUGUCCGGAAUUAUUGGGCGUAAAGGGUGCGUAGGCGGCUCUUUAAGUGAGAUGUGAAAUCCCGAGGCUUAACCUCGGAGCUGCAUUUCAAACUGGGGAGCUAGAGUGCAGGAGAGGAAAGUGGAAUUCCUAGUGUAGCGGUGAAAUGCGUAGAGAUUAGGAGGAACACCAGUGGCGAAGGCGGCUUUCUGGACUGCAACUGACGCUGAGGCACGAAAGUGUGGGGAGCAAACAGGAUUAGAAACCCUGGUAGUCC